rnacentral:rRNA from 1 species
CCUACGGGGUGCAGCAGUGAGGAAUAUUGGUCAAUGGACGAGAGUCUGAACCAGCCAAGUAGCGUGAAGGAUGACUGCCCUAUGGGUUGUAAACUUCUUUUAUAUGGGAAUAAAAUGUUCCACGUGUGGGAUUUUGUAUGUACCAUAUGAAUAAGGAUCGGCUAACUCCGUGCCAGCAGCCGCGGUAAUACGGAGGAUCCGAGCGUUAUCCGGAUUUAUUGGGUUUAAAGGGAGCGUAGGUGGAUUGUUAAGUCAGUUGUGAAAGUUUGCGGCUCAACCGUAAAAUUGCAGUUGAAACUGGCAGUCUUGAGUACAGUAGAGGUGGGCGGAAUUCGUGGUGUAGCGGUGAAAUGCUUAGAUAUCACGAAGAACUCCGAUUGCGAAGGCAGUUCACUGGACUGCAACUGACACUGAGGCUCGAAAGUGUGGGUAUCAAACAGGAUUAGGUACCCCUGUAGUC